GGGACACGUCAGCAGCGGGGACGGGAGAGACAGAACGGGUGUGCCAGGUGUGUCUGUGGGUGUAACAGCUGUGCCAGGUGUGUCUGUGGGUAUAACAGCAGUGUCUGUGGGUGUAACAGCUGUGCCACGUGUGUCUGUGGGUGUAACAGCUGUGCCAGGUGUGUCUGUGGGUAUAACAGGUGUGUCUGUGGGUAUAACAGCUGUGUCUGUGGGUGUAACAGCUGUGCCAGGUGUGUCUGUGGGUGUAACAGCUGUGCCAGGUGUGUCUGUGGGUAUAACAGGUGUGUCUGUGGCUGUGCCAGCUGUGUCUGUGGGUAUAACAGCAGUGUCUGUGGGUGUAACAGCUGUGUCUGUGGAUAUAACAGCUGUGCCCAGGUGUGUCAGUGGGUAUAACAGGUGUGUCUGUGGGUAUAACAGCAGUGUCUGUGGGUGUAACAGCUGUGCCAGCUGUGUCUGUGGGUAUAACAGCAGUGUCUGUGGGUGUAACAGCUGUGUCUGUGGAUAUAACAGCUGUGCCCAGGUGUGUUUGUGGGUAUAACAGGUAUCCCCAGGUCUAUCCCAGGUAUCCCCAGGUGCAUCCCAGGUAUCCCCAGGUCUAUCCCAGGUAUCCCCAGGCAUCCCCAGGUGCAUCCCAGGUAUCCCCAGGUCUAUCCCAGGUAUCCCCAGGUGCAUCCCAGGUAUCCCCAGG